AUUGAACGCUGGCGGCAGGCCUAACACAUGCAAGUCGAGCGGAUGAGUGGAGCUUGCUCUAUGAUUCAGCGGCGGACGGGUGAGUAAUGCCUAGGAAUCUGCCUGGUAGUGGGGGACAACGUUUCGAAAGGAACGCUAAUACCGCAUACGUCCUACGGGAGAAAGCAGGGGACCUUCGGGCCUUGCGCUAUCAGAUGAGCCUAGGUCGGAUUAGCUAGUUGGUGGGGUAAUGGCCCACCAAGGCGACGAUCCGUAACUGGUCUGAGAGGAUGGUCAGUCACACUGGAACUGAGACACGGUCCAGACUCCGACGGGAGGCAGCAGUGGGGAAUAUUGGACAAUGGGCGAAAGCCUGAUCCAGCCAUGCCGCGUGUGUGAAGAAGGUCUUCGGAUUGUAAAGCACUUUAAGUCGGGAGGAAGGGCUGUAGGCUAAUACCUUGCAGUUUUGACGUUACCGACAGAAUAAGCACCGGCUAACUUCGUGCCAGCCGCCGCGGUAAGAC
rnacentral:rRNA from 1 species